rnacentral:snRNA from 1 species
CCGCCGCCCGAUUGCCGA